UGGGCACUAGGUGUGGGGGACAUUCCACGUUUUCCGCGCCGUAGCUAACGCAUUAAGUGCCCCGCCUGGGGAGUACGGCCGCAAGGCUAAAACUCAAAGAAAUUGACGGGGGCCCGCACAAGCGGCGGAGCAUGCGGAUUAAUUCGAUGCAACGCGAAGAACCUUACCAAGGCUUGACAUAUACUGGACCGCAUCAGAGAUGGUGUUUCCCUUCGGGGCUGGUAUACAGGUGGUGCAUGGCUGUCGUCAG
rnacentral:rRNA from 1 species